rnacentral:rRNA from 1 species
CACUUUGUCUUUAUGGCAAAUGUGAGAUGCAGUGUAUGGAAUGUCAAAUUUCUAGUAUGAGAAAUUAACGAUUUAAGUCCUUCUUAAAUGAGGCCAUUUACCCACAGAGGGUGCCAGGCCCGUAUAACGUUAAUGAUUACUAGAUGACAUUUCCAAAGAGUCGUGUUGCUUGAUAGUGCAGCACUAAGUGGGUGGUAAACUCCAUCUAAAACUAAAUAUAACCAUGAGACCGAUAGUAAACAAGUACCGUGAGGGAAAGUUGAAAAGAACUCUGAAUAGAGAGUUAAAUAGUACGUGAAACUGCUUAGAGGUUAAGCCCGAUGAACCUGAAUAUCCAUUAUAGAAAAUUCAUCAUUAUGAUUUUAAUAUUUGUAAUAUUAUAAUAAUGUUGUGCACUUUUUCUAUAGAGGACAUUGUAAUCUAUUAACAUAAAAUUAAAUUUAUCAUAAGAUCAAUAUGCGUAAGUUUAUUCACAUUAUUUUGCUUGCAAUUUAACAUAGAAUAAAUGCUGUUGAUUUGAUAAAGUGUUGAUAGAUUUAUAACAUAUAGUGCUUAAAUAUUUAUAUUUUAUAGUAGCAUAUUAAUUUUUAAUUUUUAUGUUUACUAUAUGCACUUAUAUGAUUAACAAUGCGAAAGAUUCAGGAUACCUUCGGGACCCGUCUUGAAACACGGACCAAGGAGUCUAACAUAUUUGCAAGUUAUUGGGAAUAAAAACCUAAUAGCGAAAUUAACAUAACUUAAAAUAUAAUGGGAUUAGUUUUUAGCCUAUUUAUAGUCUAUUAAUUCAAUCCCGGGGCGUUCUAUAUAGUUAUGUAUAAUAAUAUUUAUAUUAUUUAUACCUCUAACUAGAACGUACCUUGAGCAUAUAUGCUGUGACCCGAAAGAUGGUGAACUAUACUUGAUCAGGUUGAAGUCAGGGGAAACCCUGAUGGAAGACCGAAACAGUUCUGACGUGCAAAUCGAUUGUCAGAAUUGAGUAUAGGGGCGAAAGACCAAUCGAACCAUCUAGUAGCUGGUUCCCUCCGAAGUUUCCCUCAGGAUAGCUGGUGCAUUUAAAAAUUAUGUAAAAUAAUCUUAUCUGGUAAAGCGAAUGAUUAGAGGCCUUAGGGUCGAAACGAUCUUAACCUAUUCUCAAACUUUAAAUGGGUAAGAACCUCACCUUUCUUGGUAUGAAGGUAGUGGUUGUGAUAUAAUGUGCCCAGUGGGCCACUUUUGGUAAGCAGAACUGGCGCUGUGGGAUGAACCAAACGUAAUGUUACGGUGCCAAAAUUAACAACUCAUGCAGAUACCAUGAAA